rnacentral:lncRNA from 1 species
UCUCUCCCACGUUGUUGUUGUUCUUUCCUGAACAAAACGUCCUGCUGUUGUUCUUCACUUGUUACUAUUAGAGUGUGUAAUUUCUUUGAACAUUUAGAGUGGAGACUUGAUAGAUUGUAAUCUAUUUUACACUGUUUCAAUAUAUAUGAAUCGCCCGUUAGUUAUUUGUCUGUUACAUUCAGGUUACUAGUUGUGAAUCUUGUUUUGUAAUUGUUCAUUGUGAAGUCAGAUGUGUGAACAUGCUUAAUUCUUAGUCCCUGUGAUAGCUCCAGUACAUGUGUUUUUUAUGUUGUCUCAAUUUCUAGUAUAUAUAUAUAUGUAGUGCUCGUGAUGUGCUCUUUCCUUGUAUCUCAAAUAUGCUUCUGUCCCCAUUCUUAAAUGUUUGCUAGUGUAUUUGUUUUCUCAUUUGUUAGUCGAUCUAUCCAUUGUGUGUAGUAAUGAAAAUCCUAAAAACAUUGACUGGCAAGUUAUUCUUCGCCCUGUCUUGUUAUUUGCUUGUGUUGUUAAGAGGUGGGUGAUCUUGUCCUACUUUGAGUGGGAAAACUUGUUUUAUUUUCUUUUGUAUUGCAUUACCAAAAACCUUUUCGUCUGAUCUAGCUUUAGCUGAGCACGACUAUUGUCGCCUAGUCCCUGUGGAGAAUUCGACAUCCGUAGAUUGGGCUUAAAAAACCCCGCUAUACUUACAGUUGAUCAUUUGGCGCCGUUGCUGGGGACUUGCGUCAAGCGAUUGUGUUAGGCUAUAGACUAGGUUUAGUUUAUUUCAUCGUUUAAUUCACUCUGUAUUUCUUUUUCAGUGUUUCUUUUUUUCCUUGGUGUUGCUUCGGCUUAUGAGGAUACUAAUCUUCUGACUAGUGUUUGAUGUUUAUGAGCGUGUGUAGGAAAUCAUUAAUCUUUGCAGGUUGUUCUAUAGUUACACUCGGUUAAGAUGGCAUUGCUUCAUGAUCUUUGGAUGCCCAAAAGUCAAUGCUAUAUCACAGGACCAGUUUGGCCAACUAUUGAGGCAGAGAACUUCGAGCAGAAACCUAGUCUUAUUGCUUUGGUUCAACAAUGUCAGUUUGGAGGACAGCCUACCGAGGAUCCCUAUGAGCACUUACACCGAGUCAUGGAGUAUUCAGAUACAGUCAAGUACCAUGGAGUUCCUCAAGAUGCAAUCAUGUGCAGGUUGUUUACAUUCUCUCUCUAUGAUGAUGCUCGUGCUUGGUACCGAUCCUUGCCAUCAAGGUCAUACAGUUGGAUUGAGAUAUCACAAGCAUUCUUGGAUAAAUAUUUCCCACUACACAAGCAGUCCAUGAUUCGAGAUGAUAUCUUCAACUUUGUUCAGCAUGAAGGCGAGAGUUUGUAUGAUGCUUGGGAGAGGUACGAAGCCUUGUUCAGGAGAUGUCCUAAUCAUGGGCUCGAGAGAUGGUUAGAGCUGCAGAUAUUCUAUAGAGCGUUGACUUCGGACACUCGCGGUUACAUUGAUAUGGCAACGGGUGGAGCUAUUACAAACAAGACACUUGAUGAUGCUUUUCUGCUAAUUGAGAGCAUAGCUUUCCACCAACUUCAGUGGUACAAUAAGAAGCCCACAUCUAAUUCAUUGGUUUGCUUGCAACAAAUCACUUCAUCUCAGCAAGAAUCUCUUACACAAAAGCUGGAACAAGUUUCUCCGUGUGACAAGAUUGAGCUUUCAUGGAUUAUCUUUGAUGAUGAUGACACCAUCCUAGUUGACACACACACUUCAGAUCAUAUGGAUACUAGCAUUCUAGAUUCAGUUUUACAUUGUGAUGAUUCUUCUGUGGAUGAACCAGAGCUACAGUUAGUUACUUUGGAUAUUGAGGAGACACCUUUAGUUGAUAUUGAUCAUGUGCUGCUAGAGCCAGAUAUGGAAAAGUUCGCCUUCGAUGAUGUUAGCCGCAUUGAUUCCUCAACACCUGAGCCUGAGAUGGAGAGCUUCAUCGUUGAUUAUGGUGAGGUGGAUUCAGAUGUCAAGGAGCCAAGCUCCACUAUUUCACUUGUUGCCACGAGUCUGGUGGAAAUUUCUACUACCACACCUCACUUGGUAUCUUCAAUUGAGGUAGUCCUGAAGCUUCUUCCUAACUAUCUCAGGUAUGAUCGCUACUUUCUCAAAAAGAUAUGCCAUAUCAUGAAUACUGCCUAUGCACCAAGCGAUUUGUUGAUGAUAUCUAUUUAUCAUAUGCUCAAUAGAUAUGCUUAUGUGAUAGGAUACUCUAUUGAUGACUUAGAGGGCAUUUUCCCUAUCACUUGUAUUGGCUUGUUUGUUGAGUUUUCUUUCAGGUUUACGCUUGUAUACCAUUCAUUGCAAGCUGACCAAGUUCGAGAUGACAUCCCAUGGGAUCCUGGUGGAUUCAUAGCAUGGUGAUAAGGAGCAGCAAUGGGCACACGCGAAGAAGAGUGACGAUGGAGCAGGCAUGAGGAUAGAUAAGCAAAAAGAGAAGAGCUGCAGUUUAGAGGGUGUCGAGCGAGUGCCACAUCAAAGCCCGGUGAGCUGUUUCAUGACCCCAAUCUUAAUAUAUCAUCCAUUGAUACAUGAUGAAAUCAUUUGAUAUUUGGGUUGCUUGAGCCAUUUCUUAAAUGUUGUGCCAUUGAAUUUUACCUUUGACAUAUGGUGCUUGAUGUGAAUAUGUGAACUGAUUUCUGAAUGCCUUGUAAACUAGUGAUCUAUACAAUGAUUGCUUUGCUGAAACUAGUGAGAACUAUUAGUUUUGAGUGCUCAAAUCCCUAGUGCACAAGUAAACUUAAUCAUUUUCUGCAUUUACCUUGAUACACCUAGAUCACUAUGUUUAGAUGAUGUAUUUGUGCCAAGUAUGUACCCAUUCAGAGCAAUCACUUUACUACUAUGGACUAGCAUGCUAUGUUCCCUGGAUCGGUAGCAUGUGAACCAGAUAUGGUUGAGUGAUGAUUCUUGUUUUUGUUCAAAAAAAAUUUAUAUCUUAUAAUGAAUAAUAGUCUGACUACCUACAGUAGCAUGUCAUGUUCCCUGGAUCGGUGGCAUGUGAAAUCGGGUUAGCUUGGGCAGUAAUUAAUAAUAAAAAUGUAAUUGUUGAACCAGGUGUAUACCAUGUUCUCUGGAUCGGUGGUAUGUUCCUUUGGGGAGACAAACUAAAAAAACUAAUAAUUGGUCGAGCCAGGUGUAUACCAUGUUCUCGGGAUCGGUGGUAUGUUCCUUUGGUGAGACUGAUAAAAUAUUAUCAUUACUUCCUGCAAAUUCAAUAAGUGGUUCAACAACAAUGUUUUGUUCCUGGUAAUAAGUGAUCUGAUCACAAGUUUAAGUUCUUUUUGUUUUGUGGAUCAUGCUCUCUUUAGGAACCUUUUGGCACAAUCAGCAUUUGAACUUGCUAAUCUUCUUUUAUCAUUGUAAAAGUUUAAAAUGGUCAAGUCUGCUAGUAUCCUACUGCUUUGUAGCACUCUAACCAUUAAUUUUCACUAACUAAGUCUCAAACAUGCACUAUUUAGAGAUCUACUUCACUUGACAUUCUGUAGCCAGUUCACUAUUCACUAUCUAGUUCUUGUCAUAUUCCUUUGCUUGAGGACAAGCAAAGAUUUAAGUGUGGGGGAACUUGAUAAGCACAUUUCAUAUAUAUAAUUUGGGCAUACAAAUAUACCAUUUAUUGAGUUCUUACCAUCAAUUAUUGCUAAGAAAUACUAAAUAUUUGAAUGGUAAUCAUAUAAGAGCAUGUUGACUAGUGAAUUGUUUCUUUUGCAGAAAAGUGCGCAAAGGCACUAUAAUUGUCAAGACGUUCUACUAUGUGGCUAACAAGACGAGAGAAGGGCAUGAAAGAAGUGAAGAAAGGGACCUGAGCAUGGAGGAAAGAAUAAACCGAGGGCCAAAACUAAAGAAAGAAGGGAUCUACUUGAGGCAAAAGUAUAGAAGGAUAAGGGCAAAAUCAGAAAAUUGGCAGCUGAGAGAAGGGGAACAAAAUCCCUAGCGCAACCAAUUUUUUGGAUCGGGCCUAGCACACACCUCUCUCCCUCACCCCUCCUUCUCCACCACCGGCCGCCGCCGCGGCCAGGCCGGCGUGGCGGCGCGCCACCGCGCCAACAGCACCCCCCACCACUAGCCGUUGCUCCACCACUUCACCAUCGCCAUCCAUCCAUCCAUCACCCAGCGCCACCACUGCACCAUCCACCAUCAGCGCCGCCACCUGAACCCCGAACCACCAGCAACCCACGCCGGCGCCAUCCACCACUUCCACUCCUCCCUUUCUCUCUUGCUGCUCCUCCCUCUUGCUUCGCCCCUGUUCCUUCUCUUCUUCCCCAGGCCUCUGCUGCUGCAUCUUCCUUCUUCUCCAAGCCCCACUGCUGCUCUUCUUGCGAUCUCCUCUGCUGCCCCUCGUCCCUACUGUUGCUGCUCUUCCCUUCUCUCAACCUCACGCUGCUGCUCCAACUCCAACAGCUGCUGCUCCUCUCCAAUCCCCCAAGAUGCUGCUCCUCUCUCUCUCCCACGUUGUUGUUGUUCUUUCCUGAACAAAACGUCCUGCUGUUGUUCUUCACUUGUUACUAUUAGAGUGUGUAAUUUCUAUGAACAUUUAGAGUGGAGACUUGAUAGAUUGUAAUCUAUUUUACACUGUUUCAAUAUAUAUGAAUCGCCUGUUAGUUAUUUGUCUGUUACAUUCAGGUUACUAGUUGUGAAUCUUGUAUUGUAAUUGUUCAUUGUGAAGUCAGAUGUGUGAACAUGCUUAAUUCUUAGUCCCUGUGAUAGCUCCAGAACAUGUGUUUUUUU